GUGCUCGCUUUGGCAGCACAUAUACUAAAAUUGGAACAAAACAGAGAAGAUUAGCAUGGCCCCUGCACAAGGAUGACAUGCAAAUUCGUGAAGUGUUCCAUAUUUUA
rnacentral:snRNA from 1 species